rnacentral:rRNA from 1 species
GAUGAACGCUGGCGGCGUGCCUAAUACAUGCAAGUCGAGCGAGCGGCGGACGGGUGGGUAAUGUCUGGGAAACUGCCUGAUGGAGGGGGGUAACUACUGGAAACGGUAGCUCAUACCGCAUACCAUCAGAUGUGCCCAGAUGGUAUUAGCUAGUAGGUGGGGUAAUGGCUCACCUAGGCGACGAUCCCUAGCUGGUCUGAGAGGAUGACCAGCCACACUGGGACUGAGACACGGUCCAAACUCCUACGGGAGGCAGCAGUGGGGAAUCUUCCACAAUGGGCGCAAGCCUGAUGGAGCCAUGCCGCGUGUGUGAAGAAGGCUUUCGGAUUGUAAAGCACUUUCGGCGAGGAGGCGUUACUCGAACAAAAAGCACCGGCUAACUCCGUGCCAGCAGCCGCGGUAAUAC